rnacentral:RNase_P_RNA from 1 species
UGGGUCGGCAAGACGGUCGCGUCGCCAGGGUUGCUUCGGCAGCCCGGCGCCGAGGAACGUCCGGGCUCCACAGAGCAGGACGGUGGGUAACACCCACCCGGGGCAACCCGCGAGAAAGUGCAACAGAGAGCAGACCGCCACUGGCUUCGGCCAGCGGUAAGGGUGAAACGGUGGUGUAAGAGACCACCAGCGGCCCGAGUGAUCGGGCUGGCUGGGUAAACCUCGUCCGGAGCAAGGUCAGACAGGAAGCGCUACGGGUUGCUCGCCCAGCUUCCGGGUAGACCGCUAGAGGGCUGCGGCAACGUAGUCCCGAGAUAGAUGGCCGUCCAGCACCUCACGGUGUGAACAGAACCCGGCGUAUCAGCCGGCCCAUUCG